rfam:Fungal sp. No.14919 DNA, contig: Contig0036.
UUUCUGUGAUGAGACCUAAAUCAUUCAGUUCUGCUUCUGAACAUAAUGAAGAUACCCAUAUACCAAAAACUUACUCUGAUCC